rnacentral:lncRNA from 1 species
CUUCAAGUGCAUCUCCACUGACUUCCAGGAAAACACGGCUCUCCCAAUUUCGUCAUCAAGUCUUCUAAUCGUUGUUUACUCUUCUCCAAAUCUCGAAGAUACUCCAAAUGGCGUCUUCAAAUCUUCUAAUUCGCAGCGAUGGAAGAGUGAAUUUUCGAAAACCCUAUUCGAGAAUGGUUGAAACGGCGAGAGUGAAUUUCGUAGAUGA